GUUUCAGGGAAGUGGUGCUCCAGCACUGGAAUGGGCUGUCCAGGGACACUGUGGGGUCCCGACCUCGUGGUGCUGCCACGUUUUCCAGUGCUCACAGCACAUCUUUGGAGGUGCCUCAUCCAGCAUGCCGUGGGUAAUGAUUCUUGAUGGGAAUUAGGGCCCUGUCCAUCUGGCCCCGUUCUGCCAUCUAACAAGAGGAGAUAAGUGCACUUAACAACACACCAGCUCUUGUUCAGCCCCCUUCUUCCCAAGCCAGAAUCAAUAGCAGGUCUCUACAGCUUUUAAAGACUUAGAUCCCAUCUUUUCAUCUCUCUCUCACUCAUUUUUCCCAAGCAGCAUGCGCAUGAUUUCUCUUUUUUUUCAUGCUGCGGAAAUUUUCCUAUUCCACCUUUCAUCUGCACCCGCGUGGUGCCAGCCCAGCCAGGGCUGCAGCUUGCACUCCAGAUAAGAAACCACACCAUACCUGGGUUCCAGAUCUCCAUCUCCCCCUCUCUCCUGGUUAGGAGCUCUCCCACAGUCUCAUUUAUCUUCAAAGUGCUUUGCAAACACUAAUUAAUCCCCCCAGCAACCCGCUGGGGGAGGUGAUGCAUCGCGGCUUGCCCUCAGCCACUGAUGCCAGCACCCUCAUUUCUCCCCUGCUUGCUGGGUGUGCUCGCCCUGGUUUGCAGCAGUGGGACACUCUCCCCACGGAAGGGCAGCAGGACAGUUGGUGUCUGUGUGUCACAAUGGUUGGGGACCUGCGUGGGAAGAGCCUGAGUGAUGGCACUGCAAGCCAGGACCUUCAAGAGCUCGCUAACUCCGUCUCCCUCCCUCUGCAAACAAACAUUGGAUUUAAACCUGCUCAGAAUUCAGCGCAGACGGAAAGCAGCGGCGGCAGCAGCAAGCAGCAAGCAGCGCAGCCGCUCGCCUAG
rnacentral:lncRNA from 1 species